UCCACUUUGCACAUUUUAAAAUGUGUCUAGAUUAGGAAAAAUUGUCAGGGUUAGAUAAACCUCACGUAGAUGCAAGGGUGUAGUUUGUGGGAUGGGAGGGUCGCCCCUCCCCUCCAAACUGCAGGCCUCGACAGUUGUGGAAUUUGCCCCCCCCCAUGCAGAGUUCUGUUGGCCUGACUGAAGCUGGCCCCCCAAAUGUAGAAGUCAAACUAUGCCUGGGUGGAGAUCUUUUACCUCCAGUGAGCUGGUUGAGGUUGACUGCCGGGUACUCCUAGAAUUAACCCACUAAAAAUUCUACCAAUGUUACCAGCAAACAAAAAGGCUAUCAUUUAAAUCCCAUAGUAUUCUUAUAUUCUAGCACUGAUUAAAUCCUUUUGUUUCAGAUCAGCCCAAAUGAAAUUGGAAGAUUUUCAGAUUUCCCAUUGUCAAAGAAAACACUGAAAGGUUUGCAAGAAGCACAGUAUCACAUGGUAACUGAGAUACAGAGGCAGAUCAUAGGCUUGUCGUUGCCAGGGAAAGAUGUACUUGGAGCUGCAAAGACUGAAUCAGGCAAAACCUUGGCAUUUAUUAUCCCAGUAAGUAAUUGACCUUCUCAUUGGAAGCUUGAGCUAUGUAAAGUGAAGGUAUUGGACAGUAAACAGCAUAUUUUGGUUAACCUGAGCCAGGAGGAGACUUAUAAUUUGACUGUAAUAUUUGUUCACAUAAAGCUAUGACAGACUGAUUUAUGUAUUGUUGUCUGAGGUUUUGUAAGAUGGUCUGGGUAUAUUUUUGUCUCUAGAAAUGUUUUGACACUUUGAUAUCAUGUUCUGACAUUUUUAUUGACUGAUUUUUUAAAAAAAAAGAUUUUUCUUGAUUGUCCUUUACUGAUAUAGUUGUCUGCUAAAAUUAUUUAAAAUUGAAUGUCUGUAUGGAAUAAGUGUAAAAUUGAUCAAGGAACCUGUUUACAAUUAAUCUUCACUAAAUAUGUAAGAUAUAGUUCAUUGUAGGUUAGGCUAGAGUUCAUGAAAAUGGUUUGCAAAUUA